rnacentral:rRNA from 1 species
UACGUAGGGGGCAAGCGUUGUCCGGAAUCAUUGGGCGUAAAGCGCGCGUAGGCGGCCCGGUAAGUCCGUUGUGAAAGUCAAAGGCUCAACCUUUGAACGCCGAUGGAUACUGCCGGGCUAGAGUCCGGAAGAGGCGAGUGGAAUUCCUGGUGUAGCGGUGGAAUGCGCAGAUAUCAGGAGGAACACCAAUAGCGAAGGCAGCUCGCUGGGACGGUACUGACGCUGAGGCGCGAAAGCGUGGGGGAGCGAACAGGG